rfam:Ipomoea nil DNA, scaffold: scaffold1525, cultivar: Tokyo-kokei standard.
GUGGCUUUGGCCGAGUGGUUAAGGUGUGUGCUUGCUAAGUAUAUGGGGUUUCCUCGCUAGAGUUUGAAUCUCUCAGGCAAUG